UACGUAGGGGCCAAGCGUUGUCCGGAUUUAUUGGGCGUAAAGAGCUCGUAGGUGGUUCGGCAAGUCAGUUGUGAAAUCUCCGCGCUCAACGCGGAGGGGUCAGCUGAAACUGCUGUGACUUGAGUCUGGUAGGGGAGUGUGGAAUUCCCGGUGUAGCGGUGAAAUGCGUAGAUAUCAAGAGGAACACCUGCGGCGAAGGCGGGUUGCUGGGCUGACACUGACGCUGAGGCGCGAAAGCUAGGGGAGCGAACGGG
rnacentral:rRNA from 1 species